UACGAAGGGGGCUAGCGUUGUUCGGAAUUACUGGGCGUAAGCGCGCGCAGGCGGUUCUUCAAGUCAGUGGUGAAAGCCCGGAGCUCAACUCCGGAACUGCCAUUGAAACUGUAGAACUUGAGGAUAGAGAGGUGAGUGGAAUUCUCAGUGUAGAGGUGAAAAUUUCGUAGAUAUUGGGAAGAACACCAGUGGCGAAGGCGGCUCACUGGCUCAUUUUCUGACGCUCAGGCGCGACAGCGUGGGGGGAUCAAAACAGGAUUAGAAAAACCCCGAGUAAGUCCCAAGACCCAAAGUCCUCU
rnacentral:rRNA from 1 species